rnacentral:misc_RNA from 1 species
UUAAGUUCAGCGGGUAUUCCUACCUGAUCCGAGGUCAACCAGAAAAAAAUUGGGGGGUUUAACGGCCGGGGGGGCAGCACCUAACAAAAGCGAGAUAAAGAAUUACUACGCUCAGAGGACUACUGCCACUCCGCCAAUGGCUUUGGGGAACUACGGAGGCCGUAGAGUCCCAACAGUAAGCUGUGCUUAGGGGUUGAAAU